GGGGAAGACGAUCAGAUACCGUCGUA
rnacentral:misc_RNA from 1 species